rnacentral:rRNA from 1 species
CUACGGGGGGCAGCAGUCGAGAAUCUUCCGCAAUGGACGAAAGUCUGACGGAGCGGCGCCGCGUGCGGGAUGAAGGCCUUCGGGUUGUAAACCGCUGUCAGUGGGGAGGAAAUGCAUCAGGGUUCUCCCUGGUGUUUGACCGAUCCGCAGAGGAAGCGCAGGCUAAGUUCGUGCCAGCAGCCGCGGUAACACGAACUGCGCGAACGUUAUUCGGAAUCACUGGGCUUAAAGAGUUCGUAGGCGGCCUUUCAAGUCGGGUGUGAAAUCCCUGGGCUCAACCGGGGAAUUGCGCCUGAUACUGUUGGGCUUGAGGGGGAUAGGGGUGAGCGGAAUUGAUGGUGGAGCGGUGAAAUGCGUUGAUAUCAGCAGGAACACCGGUGGCGAAGGCGGCUCACUGGAUCUCUUCUGACGCUGAGGAACGAAAGCUAGGGGAGCGAACGGGAUUAGAUACCCUCGUAGUC